rnacentral:lncRNA from 1 species
GACAUCCUUAGUUUUAGUAAACCAAGAUGCCUGUGUUCUCCAAAGGAACUCAAUAUCAGCAUUCAAAAGAAAAAAACAACAACAAAUGAGAUGAUCGAGAUGAUGGUUGUUCAAUGUUCAAGAAUGUUUGUGUAGUUCGUUUGGGCCUUCCGUGUGAAGCAAAGUGCUUCAUGUAUGUGAGGAGAGGUGCCUCGAUAGAUGACCUUAAGCGAAAAAAGCUUCAGCAAGGAGGUUUUGGUGAUUAGUCUAGCUUGCAACUCUAUUUUAUAUUGUGAGUUUGUAGAUAAUAGUAAUUAUGGAUAUGAUAUUUCUAAUGCAAUUGAUUACUUACAAAUGUUGAGUUUCUUGAAAGCUGUUGAAACAGGUUGUUGUUGUUGUUUCUGUCUAGUUCAGACUGUUUCUUCAUGGUGCCCUUCUUCGACCGACAAAAGGGGGGUGUGGAAG